CGCUAUCACUCCUACGGGGAGGCAGCAGUAGGGAAUCUUCCACAAUGGGCGCAAGCCUGAUGGAGCAACACCGCGUGAGUGAAGAAGGGUUUCGGCUCGUAAAGCUCUGUUGUUAAAGAAGAACACGUAUGAGAGUAACUGUUCAUACGUUGACGGUAUUUAACCAGAGAGUCACGGCUAACUACGUGCCAGCAGCCGCGGUAAUACGUAGGUGGCAAGCGUUAUCCGGAUUUAUUGGGCGUAAAGAGAGUGCAGGCGGUUUCUAAGUCUGAUGUGAAAGCCUUCGGCUUAACCGGAGAAGUGCAUCGGAAACUGGAUAACUUGAGUGCAGAAGAGGGUAGUGGAACUCCAUGUGUAGCGGUGGAAUGCGUAAAUAUAUGGAAGAACACCAGUGGCGAAGGCGGCUACCUGGUCUGCAACUGACGCUGAGACUCGAAAGCAUGGGUAGCGAACAGGAUUAGAUACCCUGGUAG
rnacentral:rRNA from 1 species